rnacentral:tRNA from 1 species
GGAGGAGUGCCAGAGCGGUUGAAUGGGGCGGUCUCGAAAACCGUUAGGGUCGCAAGGCCCUCGAAGGUUCGAAUCCUUCCUCCUCCG